GAUGAACGCUGGCGGCGUGCCUAAUACAUGCAAGUCGAGCGAACGGACGAGAAGCUUGCUUCUCUGAUUUUAGCGGCGGACGGGUGAGUAACACGUGGACAACCUACCUAUAAGACUGGGAUAAUUUCGGGAAACCGGAGCUACUACCGGAUAAUAUUUUGAACCGCAUGGUUCAAAAGUGAAAGACGGUCUUGCUGUCACUUAUAGAUGAAUCCGCCCUGCAUCAGCUAGUUGGGAAGGUAACGGCUUACCAACGCAACGAUGCAUAGCCGACCUGAGAGGGUGGUCGGACAGCCUGGCAGUGAGACACGGUACAGACUCCUACGGGAGGAAGCAGUAGGGAAUCUUACGCGAUGGGGGAGAGGCUGACGGAGCAAAGCCGCGUGAGUGAUGAAGGUCUUCGGAUGGUAGAACUCUGUUAUUAGGGAAGAACAAAUGUGUAAGUAACUGGGCACAUCAUGACGGUACCUAAUCAGAAAGCCACGGCUAACUACGUG
rnacentral:rRNA from 1 species